rnacentral:tRNA from 2 species
GGGACAUUGGUCUAGGGGUAUGAUACCUCUUUCGGGUAGAGGUGGUCGAGGGUUCGAUUCCCUCAUGUCCCC